UGCUCUCCAAGGACACAGAGCUAGGCUGUGCCAGCCUUGUCACUUCCCUCCAGGGAGCCAGCUUUGCCUGGGGCCGACCACUGCCCCUCCCCACACCCAUGCAUGAAUGCCCAUGGGCACAGAGCCAUGCAGAAAAAGCCAGACUACCAUGUAGGUUUUUGCGAUAGUCACUAGGAUUUAUUCUCUUGCAGGAGUUAAGACAAAUUAUUAAAAACUGAACAACACUGAGCCUUAUUUUUCCUUCUCAAUUGUAAGCAGCUGUGGGGGACUUUACUGUGCCAGGCGCUGUCCAGGCCAGCACCUCCCAGGGUCACUAGUGACCUGGGCUGGAGGCAAAAUGACCGUCACUGGUUCUGGACCUCUAGGCCCCAUUGAAGUGGCCCAGAGACAAUACAGGGAACACCGGAGCGGAGGCUGGGCCUUGCUCUGUCUCCGAGGCCCAGCACACCGCAGGUGCUUUGCAGUGUGGGAUGGGGAAGACCUAGGUGCUGAUGGAACUCCUUCCUGACCCUGAAUCCCCGUGCAGCCUGAGCCUGCUGCUCCUCUACAAUGUGGGAGUGAGUUUCCGCUGCUACUGCCUUUGGGGGUCAGGUGAGCCGACUUCACAAUCAGCACUCCGAAGUGCACGGCAGGUCAGCUACGCGCUUUCCCACCCCCGGAAGUGGCCAUCUGGGGAGUGCACGUCCUCUGCUAGUUCUGUGUAAGGAGAGAAGGGCCUGUGUGGAGCUGAAGCAGGAUUUCAGCAGUGGACAUGGCCAGGAACAUUUCAAGUAGCACGGGGCAAGGGCCGUGGCCUCUGCGGGGUCAGGGGAAGGAAUGGCCGACCCUGCACAAGGUGGUGACCGUGUUCUCUGUUCCAGACAGGAAUUCCAGCCCUGGACAGGAAUGAAGCCAUCGAGAUCCACAAAGGCGAAACCCGCCACAGUCAUCACAACCCACAGCUCUGGAUGGGACGGUAGCCCUGGGGGCAGCUUCCAGGUCUCUGAAGUGAGGAAGAAGUUUGCCCCUAACCCCUCAGCCAUUUUUCAGGCAUCAGCUCCCCGGAUCCUCAACGUGUGACUGCCCACCUAGAGGAGAUCGCCACGGGGUGGGUCAGAAACACUGCCGCCAGCCAGGGCACUGGGGUGAGAUCUUGGACCGAUGUCCCCCGCCGCCAGAGGGGGAAGGGUCCUUCUUUCUUACUGUGGGCACCACUGCUUUCCAAGUGGCCACCAGGGCUGCAGUCCGGGCGCAGAGCAGAGGCACAGAUGGCCACGGUACCACCCAGCUCAACUCUGGACCUCAGCCACCCUCUUCUUCCUCCAGAAGCGUGUGGAAGGCUUCUGAUCUUUUUUAAAUUGCCUCUUGGCCACUCUUCAGUUUUUAAAUCCGAAGAACUUGAGGAUCAAUUCUAUUGUGAACUGAAUUGUCCCGGGGGGUAGAAGGCAGGGCUGAGAAAUCUGGACAUAACAGGUCCUUGAAAGAACGAGUAAUGUCCACUCGGUUGUUCUCCCGGGCUGCAUGAAAAUUUUAUAACUCACAGUAACCCAAGAUAACGUCCUUGGGAUGUUCCUGCACAUGGCCCCCAUGUUCAAGUUGUAGAAGAAAUCUUAGGUUAUCACCUGCCUGUGACUCAUGAUGCUGCUGAGUAACCUGGAAGAAGUUUCCAAAAGAAAGAGACUAUCGUAAGGUUCCAAUUUCAGAGACAUAGGUUCUUUAUGGCCAAGGUGACCCUUACGUUUUCACAAAACAUUUCUUGGGAAGAGUGCCUGAAGGAGUGAAUGAAUGAAUGCCACUUACCUUGUGGUAAGUUCCUGAGCCCCACAUUUUAUUACUAACUCUAGUUUUUUCCCUUAAUAUAUUGGUAAUUAGAAUGGGACUGCCAUCUGCACUGGCUAAGAACGGGAGUGUUUUAAAGAAGGCAGCAUUAGCCUCUAUCCCUGGAAGACCUUCUGACGUUACCGGCACCACCCAGUCCCCUCACAUCCGCCUGCUCUUUUACAGGGAGCUCACUGCCUGUGGAGGAGGCAGCUCAUUUUGUCCUUGGAAAGCUCUCUCCAGACUUUCUCCAUCGAUUUGACAGCGCAGCCACGUGAACAAAUCUGGUCCCCUCUUUGCACAGCAGACCUUCACACACUUGGCGUUUAUGUCCCUUCUUAAAAGAUUAGAAGCACAAGCUUAGGCCAGUUUUUGGUCAGGAUGCUCAAGGAUUUCCCUUCGGAUAUUUAUCCUGCUCCAGCCCACAAGUGGUUCUCGUCUGGUGAGCACUUACUUCAGCUGCAGGAGGCGGCGUAGGUGGUUCUGGUCUUAGAACCACAUCAGAGUAGAGGUGGGGCUGUUUUCAGCUCAGGCUGCAGAGGGGGUUGGUUGUCCCCUCAGAGGUGCUAGCUCUGGCAGGCACAGCCCUUGCCCUCAUUCCAGCAAGGGAAAUGCUCUGAAUCAUUUUAAAGGGAAAACCAAAACCAUAUGCUUACACAAAGGGUUCUCUUAUUUCAGACUUCAUUGGUUUGCAUGUUAGAUGUUUCUGAGAGAAAAGAGACUUCCUGCUGGGCAGUUAGUGGGAAAUGAACAGAUUAACCUUACAAUCUCAGAUUUUACUAAAAUGCAAAAAUGUACUGUUUCAAUUUGUUAUUUAAAUUAUAAACACUGCACCUUUAUCCUCCUAUGAUUUCCUUCAUCCUCCCCUUGGUAAUAAGGACUUGAUGUACCAUGGCUGCUGCUGGUGCCCGUGGAGGCCUGUCAAUCCCGAGCACGCUUACUUCAGGCAACAGUCCACACUGGUGUUCUAUGUCGUCUUUCACAAAACCCAAUCUUCUGUUUCACAUUUAUCCCCUUCCCCCAGGAGCCGAGGGUAAAAGGACUGCCUUUGAAGCUAGCCUGGGACUCAGAUCUUAACUUGUCUGCUCACUGGCUGUGAGCAGUUUAAACUUCUGUGCCCUCCUCUGCAAAGUGAGGCAACUCCCCUACCUUGCUGAGAAUUGGUGUUUACUGGGUGCUCAGUACUGUAAAUGCUGACAACUCACAACUGUUGUAAUUCUUUCCUGCCCAAGCACCCCUUCCCCCUUUCCCAGGGAGCCGGCUCUAUUCUCUUGUGCAGCUUUGGUCCAUCUGCUGCCACCGACACAGGCCCUCUCACGAGACCCUGCCCGUCACACUGCAGCUGGCAGGGUCCUUUUCUCCCCCCCGAGACUGCCUGGGCGGCUCAUUCAUUCCUCUGCCAUUCUGUCUGCUGUACCUCAGUGGGGACAAAGCAGGCCUGCCCCUCCUGGCAGCGCUGGCACCUCUGCAGGAGGCAGGCCUGAUCUCAGCGAGGCAUGCCGCACGCUGAGUACCUUUGUGCAAUGCUCCAGGACAGACAGCUUUUCACAAACAUCCAACCUCCACCUUCCUUACUCAACUUCAUUCAUUAUGAGAAGAUCUGGGUUCUAAAGGAGAAACUUCCUCCCACUCACCCCAGGUCUUAGUAAGGCCUAACAUCAUGCCACUGGAGUGGCCUUACGAAGCUACCGAGACAAGUCCCAACCAUGGGCCCCUAUGCACCGCAUAUAUAAUACACACAGGCCAAACCAGAAAGAAAUGCACUUGAAUAUAGAUGGCGGUUAUCUUUAAGAAGGGGAAUAAUGGGUAAUUUUUUAAUUAAUAAAGUUUUACAUCUUA